rnacentral:rRNA from 1 species
CCCUUAGAUGUUCUGGGCCGCACGCGCGCUACAAUGAUGAAUUCAACGAGUUUAUAACCUUGGUUGAAAAGCCUGGGUAAUCUUUUGAACUUUCGUCGUGAUGGGGCUAGACCCUUGCAAUUAUUGGUCUCCAACGAGGAAUUCCUAGUAAACGCAAGUCAUCAGCUUGCAUUGAUUACGUCCCUGCCCUUUGUACACACCGCCCGUCGCACCUACCGAUUGAACGGUCCGGUGAAAUCUUCGGAUUGAGACUUUGUUUUCUUCACGGAAAACGCUGUUUUAAAAAGUUGAUUAAACCUUACCAUUUAGAGGAAGGUGAAGUCGUAACA